ACGGGUUUUUUUUUUUUUUUUUUUUUUGAUCAGAUCCUGCGGGUUUUUUUCGAAUUGAGAUUUUCUCAUCUUAAAGAAGAGAGAAAAUGCAAAAUUUAUUUUCCCCUUUAUUAAGGCAUAGAGUCCUCAUUCAAUACGCCGGACGGCUGGAGUCAAAUAAGGAAUGCAGAGUUGUUACCCACUCGAACACUGCCACUUCGAGUUUGGGCCCAAUUCAAACUAGGGUUUCAAUUGCGAGCGGCUACAAAAAAAAAAAAAAAAAACAUUCAACGCCGCCGUCACCACGCCAUUACUCGUCGGAGCUUUGUUCUUUGCUUCACGAUGCAGUUCGGAGCUUGUUCUAGGGUUUUGAACAGCAUCCAAGUAUCCUACUUACGACCAAGUGACCUCUCUGGCCGUCUACUCUUCCAGAUCUUCACUUCGGAAUCACGCUGCUUUUCCUAGCAGAAAUUUUUUGUUGCUGAGCGACUGUAGAAAAUUCCAGCGGCGGUUCCUUCGAAAGAGAGGUCAUCUUCUGUAAUUUUAAUAUCAUGUGGCGUAUUUAUUAUACAUCGUUUCAGUUGUUGCCGAAUUGUGUUUACUUAUUUGGUAGCAAGGGAUUUAUCUCACUUUUUAUGGAACUUAGAGUGUCCGGGUCAGCUUACACGUACGGCCCUCGACUAAUAUCAUGUAUGUAUUCAUGAUUAUUGGAGUGGCAUAUGUAGGGUUUCAUGUUUGUAGGAGACUGUUGUACAUUUGUAAUGUUUAUGCUUCGUUAAAAAGCGAACUUGCCACCAGCUAAUUGCUAUUUCUCCACUUAUUCCCUAAUCUCCUGACACUUGCAUCUUAAUUCCAAGUAGCAGAACGUAACAUUGACAAUGAGAGAGAAACAAAUCUAGGGCUCUUGAAAAUAAAUACAUGCCUGAAUCACAUCUGGUAAUCGUCCAGGAAGUCCUUGUGCAGCUAUAUUUUCUCUACCAUUCUCUUCCUGUUUCUCUGGUGUUGGUACAUUUCUUUGACACAGUGCCAAAUGUUUGGAUUGCUGACAUUCCUUUCAAAUUUUUUUUUUUGGUAAUCAAAAUAUUUGUUAGAGAACAGACAUUACAAAGACCACGAAGGGCAUACCUCCAAAUUACUAGGGGACCUAACAACAAAGUACAUUUUACGUACAACCGUACAAGUUGUUACUGAAAGGGGAAUUUCCCAAGAAUGCAAAGAACAAGGAUAUGAUAGGUGAAGCUUUUAGACAAGAUAAUUGAUUUGAUCCUUACAUGAACCUAACUUUGUGAACCACAUUUGAAGUUGGCCUUCGAGUACCGUAAAAAAUUAUGUAGUUCCUUUCCUGGCAGAUAUAAUUUUUUUUCGCACUGUGAAGAAAAUUUUCAUUUAUCAUAAGGACAAAUAAAUGAAACAGUACCAUAAGAAAAGAAAAGCAUUGAGAGAGCCUUGGAAAGUGCACGAUACUCUCCUAGUACAGCUACUCCCUAAUUCUUAACCUAGCUCUCAGCGUUUCAAAGAUUUUUUGUUGGAAAAGAAAAAAACAACUGUAGUUAGCAAAAAGUUUGACUACACUAAACACCCAAAAGCUUGAACCACCCAAAAAACAAACGCAUUCAUAAUAACCCUAAAAUUUGUAUGGCGCAUCUGCCCCAGCAGUGGACGUCUUGAAACGCCUUUAGUUCCUCACACGAGUUCCCAUCCGCCCCUUAAUAGCAGUAGAAGAACUGGCAGAUAUAAUAUACCAUGGCUGCCCAAGCUAUUUUCUUUAUAAUGUUGUGGAAGGACUUCCCAAUCAAUUCUCCAGUAGGCCAACUGACUUCAUGAUUAUGCCAGGAAUGUUGAGGCUUAGAAUGCCACACAAAGAGAGAGAACUUGCUGCCAAAGUGAUCUUGAAAAGCGGCAGCCAAGAAAAGAUGGGAAAGGCAUUCAUUAUCAAUCUGGCAUAGAAGGCAAGUAGGAGAGAUUUGAAACCCCUAACUUUUGAUUUUAUCCUUAAUUCUCAGACUGCAUUUGAUUGCCAACCAAAGAAUAAAGCAAUGCCUUGGAAUAGAUUUAGGGAACUUAACUAAGUGAUGCCAGUGCCCUGUAGGCGAAGAAGUGCUUAUGAUAAUUCCAUUCUCCAGCUACUUUAUAUAAGGAAGAGGGAGAGACUGUCCAUUUGAUUUGAUCAGGCAUAUUGCUUUGAUUGAAAGUGGGAGAAGAGAGGGUGGAAAGGGUUUAGUCCAUUCGUUGUUGAAAAUGACACAACUACACAAGAGACUUUAGCAUUAGUUGGAAGACCAUUAUUCUAUGACCAAAACAGCCAUCAAGCAGGUCAAUAAUGCUAGUGAGAUUGGAUCCUCAAGAAUGCCCCAUAAAGAUAAUCUAAAUGAUUUUGAAGAACGUGAGGGAAUUUGAGGAAUGCUAAUGGUGGUCUGUCCCAAUUAAGCACAAAGUUGCCUAUUUCUCGUUUGGAGGGAGAAUUCUCUUUUUUAGGCAACAAAAGUCAACAUACUGUAGAUUUGAGGUAAGUUGGUAAAAGUCCUGGUAAACGGAAGGAUCUUCCUUGUAGUAAAAAUUUUAGUGGGCAAGUUUGAUAGGGUGAGACUUUCUCUUUGGCACUAAAUGUCUUCUCUUUGUUAUUUGCAGCAUGACCUAUCUGAUUCAACUGUCAUGAGGAGUAUAGGUGAAGUAGUAAGAUAUUCUCUUCUAGCGCAUAGAAGUGCCUUACAGGAAUAGCAACGCUGGAGGUUAAUGAAGCUGCUAGGGAUGAGGACUUGAGUGAGUCUUGGUUUGUGGUUGCAGAUGCCUCUACAGAUGGUAUACCUUUCUCCUUUCUCCCAGUUUACAUAUUGUUUUUUAAGACAAAUAAGUUUUAAUAGGUUUCAAAAUAAGAUUUUAUAGGUUUCAAGAAAUAAUACUGAUAGCGGUUAGCUGGGUUUUUCGGUAAACUUGCUGGCAGCAUUCGUUUGAAAUUAGGCUAUUCUAAAAUUGUACUUUUGAGGUUGAUGUUCAUCUUAUCUAU